rnacentral:rRNA from 1 species
UGGGAACCUUCCCUAUGGUUCGGAAUAGCUCAGGGAAACUUGGGGUAAUACCGGAUAAGCCCUUCGGGGAAAGAUUUAUCGCCAUUGGAUGGGCCCGCGUCGGAUUAGCUAGUUGGUGAGGUAACGGCUCACCAAGGCAACGAUCCGUAGCUGGUCUGAGAGGAUGGCCAGCCACAUUGGGACUGAGAGACGGCCCAGACUCCUACGGGAGGCAG